AUUGAACGCUGGCGGCAUGCCUUACACAUGCAAGUCGAACGGCAGCGGACCUUCGGGUGCCGGCGAGUGGCGAACGGGUGAGUAAUAUAUCGGAACGUACCUUUCAGUGGGGGAUAACGUAGCGAAAGUUACGCUAAUACCGCAUAUUCUGUGAGCAGGAAAGCAGGGGAUCGCAAGACCUUGCGCUGAUUGAGCGGCCGAUAUCAGAUUAGCUAGUUGGUGAGGUAAAGGCUCACCAAGGCGACGAUCUGUAGCGGGUCUGAGAGGAUGAUCCGCCACACUGGAACUGAGACACGGUCCAGACUCCUACGGGAGGCAGCAGUGGGGAAUCUUGGACAAUGGGCGCAAGCCUGAUCCAGCCAUGCCGCGUGAGUGAAGAAGGCCUCGGUU
rnacentral:rRNA from 1 species